GAUCCUGGCUCAGGAUGAGCGCUAGCGACAGGCUUAACACAUGCAAGUCGAGGGGCAGCGGGGAGUAGCAAUACCUCGCCGGCGACCGGCGCACGGGUGAGUAACACGUGUGCAACCAACCCCGUACCGGGAGAUAACCCGCGGAAACGUGGACUAACAUCCCAUAAUACUGGAGGAUCGCAUGAUCUUUCAUUUAAAAUUCCGGUGGUACGGGACGGGCACGCGCGACAUUAGGUAGUUGGCGGGGUAACGGCCC
rnacentral:rRNA from 1 species